GACGAACGCUGGCGGCGUGCUUAACACAUGCAAGUCGAACGGUAAGGCCCUUUUGGGGGUACACGAGUGGCGAACGGGUGAGUAACACGUGAGUAACCUGCCCCAGUCUCUGGGAUAACAGCCGGAAACGGUUGCUAAUACCGGAUAUUCAGCUUCUGCCGCAUGGUGGUUGUUGGAAAGUUCCGGCGGUCUGGGAUGGACUCGCGGCCUAUCAGCUUGUUGGUGAGGUAGUGGCUCACCAAGGCUUCGACGGGUAGCCGGCCUGAGAGGGUGACCGGCCACAUUGGGACUGAGAUACGGCCCAAACUCCUACGGGAGGCAGCAGUGGGGAAUAUUGCACAAUGGACGGAAGUCUGAUGCAGCAACGCCGCGUGCGGGAUGACGGCCUUCGGGUUGUAA
rnacentral:rRNA from 1 species